rnacentral:rRNA from 1 species
UACGAAGGGUGUUAGCGUUGCUCAGAAUUACUGGGCGUAAAGAGCACGUAGGCGGGUCCUUAAGUCGAUUGUGAAAGCCCCGGGCUCAACCUCGGAACUGCCUUUGAUACUGCAAAUCUCGAGUCCGGAAGAGGUGAGUGGAAUUCCUAGUGUAGAGGUGAAAUUCGUAGAUAUUAGGAAGAACACCAGUGGCGAAGGCGGCUCACUGGUCCGGUACUGACGCUGAGGUGCGAAAGCGUGGGGAGCAAACAGG